rnacentral:piRNA from 1 species
UCCAGAAAACAUUGUCUGCCUCUGCAAC